rnacentral:rRNA from 1 species
GACGAACGCUGGCGGCGUGCCUAAUACAUGCAAGUAGAACGCUGAAGGAGGAGCUUGCUUCUCUGGAUGAAUUGCGAACGGGUGAGUAACGCGUAGGUAACCUGCCUGGUAGCGGGGGAUAACUAUUGGAAACGAUAGCUAAUACCGCAUAACAGUAGAUAUCGCAUGAUAUCUACUUGAAAGGUGCAAUUGCAUCACUACCAGAUGGACCUGCGUUGUAUUAGCUAGUUGGUGAGGUAACGGCUCACCAAGGCGAGGAUACAUAGCCGACCGGAGAGGGGGAUCGGCCACACUGGGACUGAGACACGGCCCAGACUCCUACGGGAGGCAGCAGUAGGGAAUCUUCGGCAAUGGACGGAAGUCUGACCGAGCAACGCCGCGUGAGUGAAGAAGGUUUUCGGAUCGUAAAGCUCUGUUGUAAGAGAAGAACGAGUGUGAGAGUGGAAAGUUCACACUGUGACGGUAUCUUACCAGAAAGGGACGGCUAACUACGUG